ensembl:lncRNA
UUACGUGGAAGACCCUUCACUGCUCUCGGCCUUCUGUGUAUUUCAGAUGCAUAUAGAACACCUUGCUGAUGGAGAGCUCUACUGACACCACCCCCAGCCCACACACACACACACACACACACACGUGUAAUUUAAGCGAGAGAAUGCCUUUUAAAGACAGUUUUAAUAACAUUUUGUAAUGCACUCCCCUUCUGUCCAGUCCAUUUCCUAGAUGGACACUGAGCACAUCAUGAGCUCAUCUGCACUGGCGCUGUGUGCACGGAUGCCUUGCCUCAAUCCACCCAGAUACCAGCUAGACACUGAAACCCACACGCGCGCACACACUAUAUGCAAAGCAAUCAACACUAUGGCAUGUUGUUCUCGGAAUCUUAACACGUGUUAAUACAAACAUACAACUCCAUCCAUGACAACAUGUAGGCUCAACCAUAUCUGCUAAUAGAAUGCUCUGCUACCAGACUACUAGAGCUCUUGAUGAAAUUCAUUCCAAGUGACACGUCCUCAUGUGUAUAAAGGCGCCUCAGGGUAAAGUACUAAUAAUAAAAACAAAUCAGCGCAACUUGUUAAAAAGGGGGAAAAGAUCAGCACUUGUACAAUGAGAAUCUUUAAUACACAUGACCCCUGAGCUAAACAUGAUUAAAAGCACAUGAAAUUUCACAGCAAAACAAGAGAUGACCGACUACCAGAUCUGCAUGGUUCAAUAUACACAUGUGCUUGACAUUGGCUCAAUGCAGACAGCUUGCUUUCACUAAUGCUAUUAACUGAACAUUCCAACCAUACAUGUCAAUGCCUUCAAACCUGCUCCACAAGUGCACCAAAGAAAUAUUUUUUGGGAAGAAAAGGAACCUUACGAGAGAGAGAGAAAGAUGUGUGUGUGUGUGUGUGUGUGUGUGUUUAUAUAUAUAAAAAAAACUUUGUUAAAUAUAGGUAUGCAACAAUUAUUUGCUACCUCCCUUUGCCAAGAUAACAGCUCUGAGUCCUCUCCUAUAAUGCCUGAUGAGGUUGGAGAAUACAUGGCAAGGGAUCUGAGACCUCUGAGGUUAGUAAACCAUUUUUGUGUUGAUUUUGAUGUAUGUUUUGGAUCGUUGUCCUGCUGGAAGACCCAACUAGGCUGGUUUUCAUUAAAUAAUCUGAUGAUAUUUGAUAGAGUCCAUGAUGCCAUGUAUCCUAACAAAAUGUCCAGGUCCUCUGGCAGAUAAACAGACCCAAAACAUAAAAGAGCCACCACCAUAUUAAACCAUGUGCAUGAGGUACUUUUCCAUACGGCUACCUCUCUGUGUGUGCCAAAACCACCUCUGGUGUUUAUUGCCAAAAAGCUCUAUUUUAGUUUCACCUGACCAUAGAACCCAAUCCAAUUUGAAGUUCCAGUAGUGUCUGGCAAACUGAAGAUGCUUGAGUUUGUUUUGGAUGAGAGUAGAGGCUUUUUUCUUGAAACGCUUCCAAACAACUUGUGGAGAUGUAGGUGACUUCGGAUUGUAGUUUUGGAGACUUUCUGACCCCAAGACGCAACUAACUUCUGCAAUUCUCCAGCUGUGAUCCUUGGAGAUUUUUUGGCCACUCGAACCACAGUGUAUUGAGACAAUAUAGACAUGCCUCCAAUUCCAGGUUGAUUCAUAACAUUUCCAGUUGACUGGAACGUCUUAAUUAUUGCUCUGCUGGUGGAAAUGGGCAUUUUCAAUGCUUGUGCUAUUUUCUUACAGCCACAUCCCAUUUUGUGAAGCUCAACUUGGUCUUAUCCAUUGUUACGAAUGACUAAGGGAAUUUGGCUCAUGUGUUACCUCAUAUUUAUACCCCCUGUCAAACAGGAAGUCACGGUUGAACAAUUUCCUGUUCCUAGUCACCUAGGUGUACUUAAAAAAUGUAAAAUAUCAAUAGGAAUACAUUUCUAAUAUAUUUUUCUCAUAAGAGUGCCAAUAAUUGUUGCACACCUAUAUUUAACGUUUUUAUAUAUAUAAACCUGUAGUUUGCUUGCAAUUGUUUAAUAUGCAUGAGAGCAGAGUAUUUUUGUGAAUGUUUUGAACAAAAGAUCAAAAGUUUAAACAAUAAAGACAAUUUUCACAGACUUCUUUGCUCAUAUUUACCAUGGGUGCUAAUAUUAGUGGAGGGCACUGUAUAUAAAUAUACAUACACACACACACACACGUGUGUAUGCGUGUGUAUGUAUGUAUGUGUGUGUAUAUAUAUAUAUAUAUAUA